rnacentral:rRNA from 1 species
UACGGGGGGGGGCAAGCGUUGUUCGGAAUUACUGGGCGUAAAGGGCUCGUAGGUGGCCAACUAAGUCAGACGUGAAAUCCCUCGGCUUAACUGGGGAACUGCGUGUGAUACUGGAUGGCUUGGAUUUGGGAGAGGGAUGCGGAAUUCCAGGUGUAGCGGUGAAAUGCGUAGAUAUCUGGAGGAACACCGGUGGCGAAGGCGGCAUCCUGGACCAAUAUUGACGCUGAGGAGCGAAAGCUAGGGGAGCAAACGGG